rnacentral:lncRNA from 1 species
CUCCCCCCCCGCGCGGCCCCUGGAAAAGUGGGCGGGUGGAGGAGCUUGGGGGGAGAGGAAGGGGUGCAUUGAGGGGAGCGGGACGGACGGAGGGGGACCCGCGAGCCCUCUUCUGGGAUGGGAGUGUGGCUUAGCGGCUAAAGCAGAGGGCAACGANCAGGUGGUCGGGGCUCCGUUGCAGGGCAGGUGGGUUCGGUGGCUAGGGGGCCCAAGAGGCGACGAGCCGGGAUCGCUCUGUCUGGCCGGCUGGGGGGCGUUUUGCGCCCCAGACACGAUGGCAUUGCCCCGCCGGGAGUGUCGGCGUUGCGUUGUGCCUGCCUCGCCCAUGCUGGGACGGGCUGCAUGUCGGAACCUGCAGGACCUCGUUCAGGAUGGCCCCGCUGCCCGGCCNGUUCUGCCUUUCUGUUCGGGCAGCGGCGCACUCCUUCCACCGCUUCCCAGUUUGGGCGCCCUGGGAAAACUGCCUGGAAGACUACAGCCGUUUGCUGGCGCUUGAGAUCCGGCACCGCAUCUGGAACCCCCAUGGGAUGGUGAGGAAGCAGGAAUGGAUACCUUGCCUUCUGUACAGCUCCGUCCCAGCUCCUGCUCGUGAAUGGAACCUCCAUGUUCAGCCGCAGUAUACCUGAAGAGUCCUACACGAAAGGGAGAAAGGUCAACUUUGGGGCCUACUUCUGGGCUUCCCGGAGGAGCCANUUCGUCUACAGCAUGCAGGCGCAAGAUAGAUUAUUUGGUGAUACCCAGGGAUGUUCUUCUGCUCAGGGAAGAAUGGAAAUCCUGAAGAAGCCAUGGAGAAAAUCCCUGUAUAAGGGAGACUCCUACUGGACAGUGCUAGUAAAAGAGAUAAAACCAAGGGAAAUGCCUCAUAUCCGCUAGCAAGCUCUUGAGCUUUACAAAAACUGUCUGCAACCUUCAUACAAACAUAAGAGGAGCCCUGCUAGAUCAGCCCACAGCCCUUCUAGUCCAGUAUCCUGUCUCUCUCUCACAGUGGUCUACCGAUUGCUUCCGGGCAUCUCAAGCAGAAAACAAAGGCAAAACUUUCACCUGCGCUUGACUCCCUGUAUGUGGCCUUU